rnacentral:rRNA from 1 species
GGUUUUUAGUUUUAUAUUAAAGAUCUAAUCUGCCCAAUGAGUUUAUUUGAAUGGCCGCAGUAAUUUGACUGUGCAAAGGUAGCAUAAUAAUUAGGCUUUUAAUUGAAGUCUGGUAUGAAUGAUUGGAUGAGAAAAUGACUUUCUUUAAUUUUUUAUUUGAAUUUAAUUUUUAAGUGAAAAAGCUUAAAUGUUUCUAUGGGACGAUAAGACCCUAUAGAGCUUUAUUAGUUAUUUUUUAUUAUUUUUAUUUUUUAAUUUUAUUAUUUUAUUAAUUAUUUUGUUGGGGUGAUAGUUAAAUUUUUAAAACUUUAAUUUUUUUUUUCAUUAAUUUAUGUUUUUUUUGAUCUUUUAUUAUUGAUUUUAAGAUUAAGCUACCUUAGGGAUAACAGCGUAAUUUAAUUGGAGAGUUCUUAUUGAUAAUUAAGUUUGCGACCUCGAUGUUGGAUUAAGAUUAGUUUAAGGUGCAGUAUUUUUAAUUUCUAGGUCUGUUCGACCUUUAAAUUCUUACA